rnacentral:rRNA from 1 species
GAUCAUGGCUCAGAUUGAGCGCUGGCGGCAGGCCUAACACAUGCAAGUCGAACGGUAACAGGAAGAAGCUUGCUUCUUUGCUGACGAGUGGCGGACGGGUGAGUAAUGUCUGGGAAACUGCCUGAUGGAGGGGGGAUAACUACUGGAAACGGUAGCUAAUACCGCAUAACGUCGCAAGACCAAAGAGGGGGACCUUCGGGCCUCUUGCCAUCGGAUGUGCCCAGAUGGGAUUAGCUUGUUGGG